AAAAACAUGUCUUAUUGAUUAUUUAUAUUAAGUCUAACCUGCUCAAUGAUUUAUAAUUAAAUAGCCGCAGUACUUUGACUGUGCGAAGGUAGCAUAAUCAUUUGUCUUUUAAUUGGGGGCUUGAAUGAAUGGUUUAAUGAAAAAAAGUCUUUCUUUAUAUUAUAUUGGAUUGAACUUAAUUUUUUAGUCAAAAAGCUAAAAUAUAUAAGUGGGACGAGAAGACCCUAUAGAAUUUUAUUAUUUAUUAAUUAUUUUGGUUUUGGUUAUUUUUUGAUUUAAUUACAAAAUAAUUUUGUUGGGGUGACAGAAAGAUUUAAAAAACUCUUUUAUAUUUAACUUUUAUUGAUUAGUAUAUUAAAAUGAUCCUUUAUUAAGGAUAUUUAGAUUAAAUUACCUUAGGGAUAACAGCGUAAUUUCUUUGGAGAGUUCAUAUCAAUAGAGAAGUUUGCGACCUCGAG
rnacentral:rRNA from 1 species